UAGGGAAUCUUCCACAAUGGACGCAAGUCUGAUGGAGCAACGCCGCGUGAGUGAAGAAGGUUUUCGGAUCGUAAAGCUCUGUUGUUGGUGAAGAAGGAUAGAGGUAGUAACUGGCCUUUAUUUGACGGUAAUCAACCAGAAAGUCACGGCUAACUACGUGCCAGCAGCCGCGGUAAUCCGUAGGUGGCAAGCGUUGUCCGGAUUUAUUGGGCGUAAAGCGAGCGCAGGCGGAAGAAUAAGUCUGAUGUGAAAGCCCUCGGCUUAACCGAGGAACUGCAUCGGAAACUGUUUUUCUUGAGUGCAGAAGAGGAGAGUGGAAUUCCAUGUGUAGCGGUGGAAUGCGUAGAUAUAUGGAAGAACACCAGUGGCGAAGGCGACUCUCUGGUCUGCAACUGACGCUGAGGCUCGAAAGCAUGGGUAGCGAACAGG
rnacentral:rRNA from 1 species